GUUGGAUCAAAUCAAUCUAUAGUGCUUAUCAGUGUUUUGGCAUCAUAUGGUACCUUGUUCACUAUGUCAUUGAAUAUAAUUAUGAGAGAUGGUUAUCUACCCCAAAUCUGGAAGCUUAAACAUUUAUUAGAUGAUUAAGUUUCAGAUAUUUUUGGCUAUUUAUAACCCUUACUAAUCAUUUGAACAUGUACAUUGCCUGAUAUGACUUUUUUAAAGAGGUUUUUCAUUUUUCCCAAUUUAUUUUUCCUUUCUGUAAU
rnacentral:lncRNA from 1 species